rnacentral:rRNA from 1 species
GGUGAACCAGCGGAGGGAUCAUUACUGAGUUACCGCUCUACAACCCUUUGUGAACAUACCUAACCGUUGCUUCGGCGGGCAGGGGAAGCCUCUCGCGGGCGACCCCUCCCGGCGCCGGCCCCAUCACGGGGGCGGAGCGCCCGCCGGAGGAAACCAAACUCUAUUUACACGACGUCUCUUCUGAGUGGCACAAGCAAAUAAUUAAAACUUUUAACAACGGAUCUCUUGGUUCUGGCAUCGAUGAAGAACGCAGCGAAAUGCGAUAAGUAAUGUGAAUUGCAGAAUUCAGUGAAUCAUCGAAUCUUUGAACGCACAUUGCGCUCGCCAGCAUUCUGGCGAGCAUGCCUGUUCGAGCGUCAUUUCAACCCUCAAGCACCGCUUGGUUUUGGGGCCCCACGGCCGACGUGGGCCCUUAAAGGUAGUGGCGGACCCUCCCGGAGCCUCCUUUGCGUAGUAACUAACGUCUCGCACUGGGAUCCGGAGGGACUCUUGCCGUUAAACCCCCAAAAUUUUUUCAGGUUGACCUCGGAUCAAGUAGGA